UAACUGGAUACGGCAAUGAUGAAAACUAAAACAGUUUUGGGAUACACGAGAUGUUGGGACCGCCGAAAGACUACGGCCAUUCACGGGAAAUUGUUUUUCUUUAUCAUGCCACCAAAUUGCUUCUGUAGUGUAUCAUGGAGCUAUUUGGGUGCCUGUUGUGUACCAUGGGGUCAUUUCAAUUUAUUGAUUUUCUUAUUUAGGAAAAACUUCGAUAAACCGAGACAAGUUAAUAAUUGCUUUUCGAACAAUCCCAGCCAGGCAGGAAAUCCAGAUCGCAUUUUUCAUCAAGCUGGAUGCUACAUGCCUUAAUCGCACCGAAAUGUCUGUGCCAAGUUUUCGAGUUGUUGGUCGCUGUCAGUUCAAGAUGACCGAUAGGUGGCAAAUUAUUCGUUUUUUGGAAAUGCUGUUGCAAUAUCUUUGUCCAUCAUCCGCAAAUCCUUUUCUUCCAUCAUAGGUGAAUACCUACGUCGGAUUAUGGAACAAUGGCCAACGGUGGGGUGGGUCUGGAACAGUCUUCUGAUGAAGAUGAACCAAGCGACGUUACAAAUGUGGAUUCCACCACAAGCUCCUUGUUUUGAAGAAGCUCCGCAGGGCCGAAUAUUACGUUAAUCCACUAGGGAAGCCAAUCAUCGUAGAGAACCAUUCGCGAAACAUAAGUAUCGUCCCGGAGAUGGUCGUUUCAAUAGAGGUGAAACUUUCAACCAGGCCAUAAUAAGGCCAGGAAUGAUCGAAAAAUUUCCUCUCACGGGUCAAGUAUGGUCGUCGACAAGGUAUCGGUGCUUCCCACAGCAGAUGGAAUGGUGCGAUGUUAUAAGGUAUGUAAAUUAAAAUAACACAUACCGUGAAAACAAAAAUUUUAAACUAGAAAUUUCAAAAAAUUAAACAAUUAAUGGUG